GACGAACGCUGGCGGCGCGCUUAACACAUGCAAGUCGAGCGAGAACCAGGCCUUCGGGCCUGGGGAAAGCGGCGAACGGGUGAGUAACACGUGGGCAACCCACCCUUGGUACCGGGAUAGCCCGGGGAAACCCGGAUUAAUACCGGAUGGCCCAGCAGCUCUUCGGGGCGGCUGGAAAAGGUAGCUUCGGCCUCCGACCAAGGACGGGCCCGCGGCGGAUUAGCUUGUUGGUGAGGUAACGGCUCACCAAGGCGACGAUCCGUAGCUGGUCUGAGAGGACGAGAAGCCACACUGGGACUGAGACACGGCCCAGACUCCUACGGGAGGCAGCAGUGGGGAAUCUUGCGCAAUGGGCGAAAGCCUGACGCAGCGACGCCGCGUGGGGGAAGAAGGCUUUCGGGUUGUAAACCCCUUUCAGGAGGGACGAAGCCACUCGGGUGAAUAGCCCAGAGGGUGACGGUACCUCCAGAAGAAGCCCCGGCUAACUACGUGCCAGCAGCCGCCGUAAAAC
rnacentral:rRNA from 1 species